CAGAAAGCAGCAUCAUACAGGUAAGAAUGUCCUAUACUGGGGCAUACCACCUCAUAUGUGAAACAUGAUCGUGGGGGUGUUACGGCCUGGGCAUGUAUGGCUGCUGAAGGUACUGGCUCACUUAUCUUCAUUGAUGAUACAACUGCUGAUGAUAAUAGCAUAAUGAAUUCUGAAUUGUAUAGACUCAUCCUAUCUGCUUAAGUUCAAACAAAUGCCUCAAAACUCAUUGGCCUGCGGUUCAUUCUGCAGCAAGACAAUGAUCCCAAACAUACUGCU